GAUGAACGCUGGCGGCGUGCUUAACACAUGCAAGUCGAGCGAUGAAGUUUCCUUCGGGAAACGGAUUAGCGGCGGACGGGAGAGUAACACGUGGGUAACCUGCCUCAUAGAGUGGAAUAGCAUUCCGAAAGGAAGAUUAAUACCGCAUAAUGUUGAAAGAUGGCAUCAUCAUUCAACCAAAGGAGCAAUCCGCUAUGAGAUGGACCCGCGGCGCAUUAGCUAGUUGGUGGGGUAACGGCCUACCAAGGCGACGAUGCGUAGCCGACCUGAGAGGGUGAUCGGCCACAUGGGGACUGAGACACGGCCCAGACUCCGACGGGAGGCAGCAGUGGGGAAUAUUGCACAAUGGGGGAAACCCUGAUGCAGCAACGCCGCGUGAGUGAUGAAGGUUUUCGGAUCGUAAAGCUCUGUCUUUGGGGAAGAUAAUGACGGGACCCAAGGAGGAAGCCACGGCUAACUACGUGCCAGCCGCCGCAGUAA
rnacentral:rRNA from 1 species